AACAAAGCGGAAAAGGGCACACGGUGGAUGCCUUGGCAUGCAGAGGCGAUGAAGGACGUGUAAAGCUGCGAUAAGCUACGGGGAACUGCAAAAAAGUGUAGAUCCGUAGAUUUCCGAAUGGGGCAAC
rnacentral:rRNA from 1 species